rnacentral:rRNA from 1 species
AAAGAAAGUAAAUAAGGGCGUAUGGAGGAUGCCUAGGCUCUCAGAGGCGAAGAAGGACGUGAUAAGCUGCGAAAAGCCGCGGGGAUUGGCACAUACGAAUUGAUCCGCGGAUAUCCGAAUGGGGCAACCCUUCCGUCUUCGGACGGAAAUCCCUGGUAACAGGGAAGCUAACCCGGUGAACUGAAACAUCUAAGUAACCGGAGGAAGAGAAAACAAAAGUGAUUCCCGGAGUAGUGGCGAGCGAAACGGGAUUAGCCCAAACCAAUGUUGUUCAGGCAACGUUGGGGUUGUAGGACCACAAUAAUCAAAAUGAUCAGGAGUGGAAGUGUCUGGAAAGUCACACCAAAGAAGGUGAAAGUCUUGUACACGAACUGAGAAAUUCGAUAGUGGUAUCCUGAGUAGGACGGGACACGAGAAAUCCUGUCUGAAUCUGCCAGGACCAUCUGGUAAGGCUAAAUACUCCUGAGAGACCGAUAGUGAACAAGUACCGUGAGGGAAAGGUGAAAAGCACCCCGAACAGGGGAGUGAAAUAGUACCUGANNUCCGGUUUACCGGAAUGACGGCGUGCCUUUUGCAUAAUGAGCCUACGAGUUAGUCGUCAUUAGCGAGGUUAAAUUUUUAAGGAAUGGAGCCGAAGCGAAAGCGAGUCUGAAAAGGGCGAAUAAGUUAAUGGCGGUAGACGCGAAACCUGGUGAUCUACCCAUGGGCAGGUUGAAGUCUUGGUAACACAAGAUGGAGGACCGAACCAGGGCACGUUGAAAAGUGCUUGGAUGACCUGUGGGUGGGGGUGAAAGGCCAAUCAAACUGGGAAAUAGCUCGUACUCCCCGAAAUGCAUUUAGGUGCAGCCUUGUGAAAGUUUUUCAGAGGUAGAGCUACUGAUUGGAUGCGAGGGCUUCGCCGCCUAUCAAUUCCAGACAAACUCCGAAUGCUGAAAAAUGAUUUACAGGAGUGAGGGCAUGGGUGCUAAGGUCCAUGUCCGAGAGGGAAAGAACCCGGACCAACAGCUAAGGUCCCCAAGUGUGUGCUAAGUUGAAAAAACGAGGUCUGAUUGCAUAGACAGCUAGGAUGUUGGCUUGGAAGCAGCCAUUCAUUUAAAGAGUGCGUAACAGCUCACUAGUCGAGCGA